UACGGCUUCUGGUGGUUUCGACGAUAUAAAGGAACACGAAGGAUGAGUGAAUGCUGUUUCGAUAGUAAAAUAUUUGACAACCAACACGGAGGUGUUACCCGCGUUGGAAUAAACGCCGAAUACUGCGCGCGCAUUUGUGCCAAAUAUAAGCGUAAACUUCCUUGAAGCAGUUUAGAACGGCGGGAAGGGAUUCGUCGGCCGAUCACACGAGCCUUCCGCGAGUGAGCGAGUGAGGGGAAGACCGGCGAAGUGAGAAAUCUAGGGAAAGCGCAAAAGGGCUGAAAA